rnacentral:rRNA from 1 species
AGUGAACGCUGGCGGUAGGCCUAACACAUGCAAGUCGAACGGCAGCACAGUAAGAGCUUGCUCUUACGGGUGGCGAGUGGCGGACGGGUGAGGAUUACAUCGGAAUCUACUUUUUCGUGGGGGAUAACGUAGGGAAACUUACGCUAAUACCGCAUACGACCUACGGGUGAAAGCAGGGGAUCUUCGGACCUUGCGCGAUUGAAUGAGCCGAUGUCGGAUUAGCUAGUUGGCGGGGUAAAGGCCCACCAAGGCGACGAUCCGUAGCUGGUCUGAGAGGAUGAUCAGCCACACUGGAACUGAGACACGGUCCAGACCCCUACGGGAGGCAGCAGUGGGGAAUAUUGGACAAUGGGCGCAAGCCUGAUCCAGCCAUACCGCGUGGGUGAAGAAGGCCUUCGGGUUGUAAAGCCCUUUUGUUGGGAAAGAAAAGCAGCAGGUUAAUACCCCGCUGUUCUGACGGUACCCAAAGAAUAAGCACCGGCUAACUUCGUG